GCCCAGGUAGCUCAGUCGGUAGAGCGCAUCCUUGGUAAGGAUGAGGUUCACGGGUUCAAUUCCCGUUCUGGGCU
rfam:Chitinivibrio alkaliphilus ACht1 contig00022, whole genome shotgun sequence.